rnacentral:lncRNA from 1 species
GUCUUUCUGAAUGACUGUAUUUGUGCUCUGGCCAGCAGUUUUGGAGAGUGCUGGUUUUCUAGACCAGUGUUUCUCAACUGUGGGUGCAUAUCAGAAUCAUUGAGGGUACUUUUAAAAGCAGUGAUACCCAGGACCAGCUCCCAGAGAUUCUGGUUUCAUGGAUCUGGGGUGUGACCCAGGGUUUAUAGUUUUUAAAAGCUCUCCAAGAGAUUUUAUAUGCGGCCAGUUUGAUAGGUGAAAGUGGUAUUCCAUUUUUUUAAUUAUAAUUUUCUUCUGAAAUUGUUUCAGGCAUUCAGAUUUGGGAGAAGUAGCCCCAGAAAUAAAAGCAUCAGAGAGACGAACAGCUGUGGCCAUUGCAGAUUUGGAAUGGAGAGAAAUGGAAGGAGAUGAUUGCGAGUUCCGUUAUGGAGAUGGUACAAAUGAGGCUCAGGACAAUGAUUUUCCAACAGGUAAGCAUUUUCUCUGCCUUUUCUCUCUGUUCUAUGAAAGGGGGUUAUCAUCUAGGCCAGCAGUUCCCACACCUGACUGUAUCAAAU